UAGAUUGAAGCCAGUUGAGUAGGGUGGUUAGCUGUUAACUAAAACUUCAUGGGAUCAAAGCCCACCAAUCUAG
rnacentral:tRNA from 1 species